rnacentral:rRNA from 1 species
CAGUAGCCGCGGUAAUACAGAGGGUGCAAGCGUUAAUCGGAAUUACUGGGCGUAAAGCGCGCGUAGGUGGUUUGUUAAGUUGGAUGUGAAAUCCCCGAGCUUAACUUGGGAAUUGCAUUCGAUACUGGUUAGCUAGAGUGUGGGAGAGGAUGGUAGAAUUCCAGGUGUAGCGGUGAAAUGCGUAGAGAUCUGGAGGAAUACCGAUGGCGAAGGCAGCCAUCUGGCCUAACACUGACGCUGAGGUACGAAAGCAUGGGGAGCAAACAGGAUUAGAUACCCCCGUAGUCCCUGUCUCUUAUAU